AGCAGCCGCGGUAAUUCCAGCUCCAAUAGCGUAUAUUAAAGUUGUUGCAGUUAAAAAGCUCGUAGUUGAAUUUCGGGAUCAAUAUGUUGGUCGUGCCUCGGUACGUACUAGCAUAUUGGUUUCUCCUUUCUGAAGAACCAUGAUGUCAUUAAUUUGGUGUUAUGGGGAGUUAGGACUGUUACUUUGAAAAAUUAGAGUGUUUAAAGCAGGCUUUAGCUUGAAUACAUUAGCAUGGAAUAAUGAAAUAGGACGUUCGAACCUAUUUUGUUGGUUUCUAGGAUCAACGUAAUGAUUAAUAGGGAUAGUUGGGGGCAUUAGUAUUCAAUUGUCAGAGGUGAAAUUCUUGGAUUUAUUGAAGGCUAACUACUGCGAAAGCAUUUGCCAAGGAUGUUUCAUUAAUCAAGAACGAAAGUUAGGGGAUCGAAGACGAUCAGAUACCGUCGUAGUCUUAACCAUAAACUAUGCCGACUAGGGAUCGGAUGAUGUUAAUUUUUAAUGUACUCAUUCGGCGCCUUAAC
rnacentral:rRNA from 1 species